UACGUAGGGGGCUAGCGUUGUUCGGAUUUACUGGGCGUAAAGGGCGCGUAGGCGGCGUGUUAAGUCACUUGUGAAAUCUCUGAGCUUAACUCAGAACGGUCAAGUGAUACUGAUGUGCUAGAGUGCAGAAGGGGCAACCGGAAUUCUUGGUGUAGCGGUGAAAUGCGUAGAUAUCAAGAGGAACACCUGAGGUGAAGACGGGUUGCUGGGCUGACACUGACGCUGAGGCGCGAAAGCUAGGGUAGCAAACGGG
rnacentral:rRNA from 1 species